UACGGAGGGGACUAGCGUUGUUCGGAAUUACUGGGCGUAAAGCGCACGUAGGCGGAUUUGUAAGUCAGGGGUGAAAUCCCGGGGCUCAACCUCGGAACUGCCUUUGAUACUGCAAAUCUCGAGUCCGGAAGAGGUGAGUGGAAUUCCUAGUGUAGAGGUGAAAUGCGUAGAGAUGUGGAGGAACACCGAUGGCGAAGGCAGCCCCCUGGGUCAAGAUUGACGCUCAUGCACGAAAGCGUGGGGAGCAAACAGG
rnacentral:rRNA from 1 species